CGCACUCGCCACAAUCAUCAUCGUCCCGACACCCUCAUAUCAUAUCAACCACCAGUCCACCACACCCUCGCGCGCGGGGAACCGAGAGCGAUCGCAUCCGUGGCCAUGCUUGCGAGGUUGCGCGCCGUGUCGGCGGCGGCACACGGGACCGAUGCGAACCUGCGCCGCCUCCGCUACGAAGACACGGCGGAUUGCGUCAUCGUCUACGGCUACGACCUGCCCGGCCCCGGUGGCCCGGCGUCACCGGCGGUCAGCUGCGCCUCGGCUACGGGGUGGAGCGCGUCGGGGGCGCGCUGAGGCGCAUCAAGGACACCUGCGAGGGCCUGGGCGAGGACGAGUCGAUGCCUCUGGCGGACCCGUCGUUGCCAUCGACGUCGUCGUCAGCGUCACCAACAUCGUGGUCGGCGCAUGCGACUUCGUCGUCGGCGCAUGUGACUUCACCCAGUACGCUCGCGGCUCCCUAGCCCGCUUCAUCGGCGAGUCUUCGAGAGGAAAGCCCGGCAGCCGCAAUUGAAUUUGCAAAAGGGGAAAAUAUGAUGCUCAAUUUGAAGAUCUCCCAGAGGAUGUGCAGUGCAUUAUAUUCAAAGUUGGAGCUCAAAGCAGCCGUAAAGUCUAGCAUUCUGUCAAACAAAAGGAGAAACACGUGGAUGAUUUGCUCAAAACUAAGGUUUGAUGCCAGUAAAAUGUUCGGAAAAGGCAUGGCAUGGAGGUACUACAUUCCAAAAUUUACCGACCAUGUCAAUCGAGUCUUGAAACUGCAACAUGGCAAGGUGGUUGAAACCCUUGAGAUCAGAGUAGAUUUUACCAGUAUUCUAGCUGUUCAUCUGGAUAAUUGGGUCAGUUUUGCAGCAACGUCAUGCACAAAGAAUCUGUCACGGGCAGACUUACGGGCCAGCGGACUACAGUAGCCGGUCCAGUACUGUAACACGCGGCUACUGUAUACUGUAGGGCGCGGCUACUAUAGCACACCUAGGGUUAGUAGUCUAUUUAAGGAGAGAUUAGGGAGUCAUUAAAGAUAGGCUUAGAAUAGAUUAGAUCUAGUACCUAUUAUCACUGCCCUUGGAGUGCGGCCGCCGCAGUUGCGAGGCCGCGCUCAUUGGGUUCAGGUUUACUGUAUCUAGAUCCAUGACAAUUGGUAUUAGAUAGCUUUGGUUUCGAUCCGAUCCAUGACCGUUGCCGCUGAUCCUGCUGCGCCACCGCUGGUUUUGCCGUUGCCAUCCCUAUGGGUGACACCACCAAAGCCAGUUGUGGCGCAGCCUUUCCAAUCUACCACCGGGUACAACACGCCGUCGCUGCUUCCGCCGUCGCCAUCCCCAUGGGCGCCGCCAACGGAGGAAGCCAUGGCGUGU